AUGGAGGCAUCCGGCUUCGGCCGCGACGCGGGGCCCCUCAACCGCGGCCCGGGCUCCGCGCCCCUCGCCUUCGGCGCCGGCGCGGCCACCGCCCCUUCUCCCGCGGCGCAGCCCGCCCCCGUGCAGUUCCCCUCGGCUCGCCCGGCCGCCCCCUUCGUGCCCCCCUCCUCGCGCUUCCCGAGCGCUCGCCCCCAGCUCUCCGCAGCGGCUCCCAUCUCUCACCCUACUUCUCCCAUCCCCAUACCGGCACCCUCCGCGCGCCCGGCCGCAGCUGCUCCCGGCGCCUCCGGUCCCGUGAGGUUUCCGAGCCCUCUUCGUGCCGUCGACCCAGGCGCGGCCGCUGCUACCGCUCGCCACGCCGCGCGCCAUCUUCAGUCUCAGCCGAGAGUAGCUGCACCAUCCAUAGGCAGGCCCAUGCAUCCUGGUAUUUCCUCAAGGAGCAGGUCCCCGCCGAAUCUAUCAAAUCAGCAUGUGAAUGUUCCUUCAGAAAAUGAUAAUGGUAUGGGGCAAAGAAGGUUGGUAAACUAUGCAGACCCGUUGUUUGAAAAUGAAAGUGCGCAAUCUUCAGUGCAAAUGAGAAUGCAACCUCCAGAGACUGGAAAGACAGCAAGAUCACCACCAUUAGACAUGAGCAGACAGUUUAGACCAUCAUCAAGCCUUCCAAAAUUAACUCCUACACAGCGUGCUGAGCCUCAUGAUCAUGUGCAAAUGCCUAAUCUAUCACCUUCCAAGUUUGGAAUCCAGAACCAGUCUCCUUUUCAUGAUGCAUGUGCUACAUUCUCUCCUCUUCUGAAUAGCAAUUUAGUUCCUGGUAUUGGGAGGCCCCGUCCUGCCUCAGGGACUAGUACAUCUUCUUCAUCAGUGCUUGGUGGUGCGGCUCAACAAGAGAUGAACGAUCAUAUGAGAGAACAAAGAUUCUCAGCUCCACUUCAAAGUCGAACAAUGGAUCAUAGCAUUUCAAAAAGGUCUAGGUCACCUACUUUAUCCUAUCAGGAUGUUGAUGGUGCUGAAGCUCGUCAUGGCACUGGUGCAAAUGCUAGAAGACUGAUAAACUAUGCGGAUACCUUGGUUGAUGAUGUAAGUAUUGAAACUUCAAAAAGGAUGAGGGCACCUUCAGAUAUUAGAGACAACAUUAGGCCGGCACCUGCAGGUUUUGGCAGCAGUAAUGUUGCAGCCCAGAAUCUUCGUUCACAGGCUGAUAUCCAGAGGUCUGAAGCAUCCCUUCUCAAGGUUGGAAGUCAAAUAAAAUCUCGCAUUGGUGAUGUGCGUUCACCACCGUAUCAGCAGUUCCGUCCUUCAGAUACUUAUUCAAAAGAAUAUAGUACACCUACAUUUUCUCCACCAAAGCCUUCGAUUCUCAAUUCUAGGAGCGUGACCCUUCCUUUGGAUGACGGUGACGACUUUAUCCCUUCAACUGAACUUGAGAGAGAAAAACAGGCAAAAGCCAAGCGUUUGGCUCGUUUCAAUGUUGAACUAAGCAGGCCAGUGGAAAAUAUCAAUGAUCUCGCAAAAGCGGACAAACAGAAACAAGCCUCUUCAAUGGGAAAAGUUCCAGUCAGAUCAAAUGAUAGUACUAUGGCUGACAUGGACCCCCCAGGGUUAGCCGCAAUUCUUGGGCUUUGUUCCUAUAUGUGCCCAGAGCCUGAAAGGGCGGAGCGCGAGAGAAAGGGAGAUCUUGAUAGGUACGAGAGGUUAGGUGGAGACAGAAACCAAACCACCGAGCUUCUUGCUGUUAAAAAGUAUACUAGGACUGCUGAGAGAGAUGCAGAGUUGAUCAGGCCUCUGCCAGUUCUGCAGAAGACCAUGUCAUACCUUCUUAGUUUGCUGGAUCACACAUAUGAUGAUAGUUUCUUGGGCUUAUACAACUUCUUGUGGGAUAGGAUGCGAGCGAUAAGAAUGGAUCUUAGAAUGCAACAUUUCUUCAAUCAAGAGGCUAUUUCUAUGCUCGAGCAAAUGAUAAGGCUCCACAUUGUAGCAAUGCACGAGUUAUGUGAGUACAGCAAAGGAGAAGGUUUUUCAGAGGGUUUUGAUGCACACCUCAACAUUGAACAGAUGAACAAAACAUCAGUUGAGCUAUUUCAAAUGUAUGAAGACCAUAGGAGAAAUGGUGUGCUCUUCUCAACAGAACAGGAGUUCCGGGGUUAUUAUGCACUGCUCAAGUUAGACAAGCAUCCUGGUUACAAGGUUGAACCUUCUGAGUUAUCUCUGGACCUUGCUAAGAUGUCUCGUGAAAUUAGAGGCAGCCCAGACGUCUUGUUUGCAAGAGAAGUUGCAAGAGCAUGCAGAAUGGGAAACUACAUUGCUUUCUUCCGGCUUGCAAGGAAAGCAACAUAUUUGCAGGCUUGCUUGAUGCAUGCUCACUUCGCGAAGGUAAGAAGGCAAGCUCUGGCUUCAUUGCACAGUGGUCUGCAGAUUGGCCAAGGCAUCCCUAUUUCACAUGUCGUGGAGUGGCUUGCAAUGGAGGAUGAGGACAUUGAAAGUCUCUUAGAAUACCAUGGUUUUGGAUCGAAGCAGUAUGAAGGACCGUACCUAGUGAAAGAAGGGCCUUUUCUUAAGAGUGAGAGCGAUUUUCCAUCUGGUUGUUCUGAACUUGUGCACUCGAAGAAAUCACAGAGAAUAGUGGAUGAUGUAUCUUCUGGUCCAGUUUGUGCUCCCACUGGUCAAAAAGCGACUGUUGCACCAUAUUCUGUCGGGUUUCCUUCCCCAGCUAGCAAAAGAGAGCCGGUUCUGCCACGGUCUGCCCUUGUGAUUCCUGUUAUUGCGAAAAAAGAGUUUGGCCCAUCGUUUUCUGGACCUGUUUCUCCCACUUCUAGCGGACAGAUUACCUCGCCGUAUUCUGGCCUGUUUUCUCCAAAAGCUGGCAAUAAACAGUUCAAUUCAACAUAUUCAAGUCCUAUUUCCCCAACUGGUAGCAGAAAGGGAAGUGUUCCAGUUAUUCUUAGCACUUCUCCGCGUGCUACCAAGCAUGCUCUCUCGCACACAGGAUGGAUGGAUGACCAGAGAGUAGCUUCACCGAAAGCAAAAGGCAAGAUCACGAUGACUGAUGAUUUCAUAAUAUCUGAAGACCAGAAUGGUGAUUUUGUGGACUUCUCGAGAGAACAAAUGGAGAUACCGCAGUCAGAAGCCUACACUCAACAUGUUGAUGCUUUGGUGGCAACCAUAGUCUCACAUCCUCUGGCAGAUGGUGUAUCCUCAGAUUACGCCCAUAUGCAUGAAGAGGAAGAUGAGCUCAGGGCACAUGGCUCUGGCAGUGAUACAGAUUUGGAUGAUGAAAGUACAUCAUAUCAUCAAGUCAAUCUAAUAGAACGUGUGUGGCCUACAGGUUCCCUAUUGCCUGGUCAUGAGGAUGGAGAUGACCAAAAUAAUAAUGAAACAACAUAUGACUCGUUACCAAUUGUUGUGUCUCCAAAGAAAACAAUUUCAGAUGAAAGGCUAAAGUUGAUACUGAGGAAAUGGAGGCAGCGUGCUGCGGAUCAGAGAUCUCUGAGAGAGCAGAAAAAUGCCCUUGCUAUUGCAGCAUUGAAUUCUCUGUCACUUGGACCACCAGUUCACCAAACUGCAGUGGUGCCAAAGCAUGCAGUCCACGAGCUAGACAUUGGCCAUGCCUUUAAAGAAAGAUACACACGGCAACAAAGAUCUUGGUCACGACUAAAUGUCUCAGAGUUGGUUGGUCCUAUUUUAACUGAAAAGAAACCUGAUGCUAGGUGCAUCUGCUGGAAGAUGCUAGUACUUGUCCCACCAGGUGCCAUGAAAUCUCAGAGCAACAAUGUUGCCUCGAGAUGGUUACUCAAAAAGCUCAUGGGUUCUGGAAAUGAAGAUAAUGGAUUGCUUCUUACUUCAGCAGACCUCUCAAUUUGGAGAACGUGGCUCAGUUCUCCGAGUGUAUGCUGCCUAUCUGUUGUCAGGGCCAGUGACCAACAAGUUAUUGGUAACGAAAUUGCUGACAGCACAAACUGUAUAGUAUUUGUGGUAUCUGAAAGCAUUCCGUGGGAAAUGCAGAAGGCACGAUUUAGCAGUCUGUUAGCCUCCAUACCUCCUCAAUCUUGUCUCCCUCUUCUGAUUUUAAGUGGUGACACAUAUAAUGAAGGGUAUGAUUAUGCGUCACAAAAUGUCAUUGAUAAGCUUGGCGUCGGCGGUCUGAGUGAAGGAAAGAUUGCUUCAUCCUUGGUUGUUUUUCUAGCUGGAAGCUGCACUGAAGGUUAUAUCAAUGGCUUCUUUGACGAUGACAAGCUGCGAGAAGGUUUAAAGUGGAUGGCGAACAGUUUUCCUCUACAGCCUGAUGUCAUCCUCGUGAAGACACACGAGUUACUUCUGAAUUACUUGAACCCAUCACUUGAGCUACUUAACAAGCGUGUUGCACCUGAAGUUGGUCCUGAGCAUUGCAUCUCAGUAUUCAACAACGCUGUCAGCCAGCUUGGAGAAGAGAUUUUGGCAGCAGCAUACAGAAGUCCUAAUCAGUGGCCAGCUCUUGAGAUUGAUCUUCUGGAGAGAUGGAGCAGUGAGAGGUUGUUCACAGAAAUGUUCUUACCUAGCAUUGGAUGGUCAUCGCCAUCAAGAAUCCAGCCGCUGGUAGAAACCGUAAAGUGUUUGCAGCUUCCAGGGUUCAGUGACGACUUGUCUUGGCUAAAACAAGGAUCUUACAUGGGCAGGCAGAUCCAAGAUCAGAAGCUAUAUCUUGAGGAGUGCUUGACGAGAUAUCUGACCCAGUCGGCUCAGUUGUUAAAUGGAGCCCAGGCGGUUGCUGAGGCAAAGAUUAUGGUGCAGAAAGGUGUUGAUCUUGAGCUCCGUGACUCGAAUCACUAUCUUGUGCCGAACUGGGUUACUAUCUUCCGGCGGAUCUACAACUGGAGGUUAGCGAGGCUUUCUACCGGAGAUUUCUCAGAAGCUUAUGUCCUGAGUCAGCGUCUUUACCAGCCCCCUGCAACACAGCAUGGGCUCACUGCCAACAGCGAUACUAUAGGCGAAGCGCCCAUUUUGGAGGACCAUGACAUGAUGCCUGCUGUGCCAUCUGGUCUCUCGCUAGACGAGAUCAUUGAGGUCAGUUGUGACCUUGAUUCUGACAGUCCACCACUGAGACCUCCAUCACCUCCGCUGCCGACCCCAGCAUGCGACGAACCUCAGGCACUGGCACACAUUGAUGGUGAGGUAAACCCAAUGCAUGGAGCUACCUAUGACGACACGCACGACGCACCGAGAAGAGUAGAGCUAAGAGAUUUGGUUCCACUCAAAUGGGACGAUGAGCUUGCCAAGCUAGAGCAGCAGUGCGCCAAGCUGCAGUCCAAGAUUGAUGAGAAGCUCUUCAUAUACUUCUGA
rnacentral:rRNA from 1 species